UGGCAGUAUAGAGACCUGUGGGUGAGCCUGCCUAAUUAGCAACACCACAGCCAACCACCAGAGGCGCACCCUCCUAUAAAAGGGGUCGAUCCCCCCCCUGCCGGUUCUCUCUCGCUGCUCCUGACGGUGACGUCACUUCCGGGUCGGACCUUUGUGCUUGGACAGAACGGCUGACUUGGGGCUUUCAGAGACUCCUGUGUGUGUGUGUCACCUAGAUGGCCUGCUGCGGUGAAGGCCGGUAGCUGUGCGAUUCUCUCCCUCUACUCUGCUGUGUGUCAUACCCAGCCGACCCGGCUAAUCGUUGCUGAGGUCCGGUGGUGGUGGUGACCUGGUGGCGGGGUUCCCCCCCUUCUCGUGUGCUGUGCUUCCCUGGGUUCUGGGUCUCCUCACUGAGUGUGUGCUGUGUGUGACUGUCACGUGUGCCUGGGUGUUUAUAUUUUUGGUUGGGGAUUCUCCGCAUCAGUCAGUAGCCCACGCACCCCAGUAAGCCUCAGCUUUAAUUUAGUUUCCCCCGUUAAUUUGUUCCUGUGUGAAUGGUGUUCUCAGUGUUUUAAACUGUGUUUGUUAAAAUAAAGAAUAUGUUCUUUUGAAUGGAAACGUGUCUCCUCGCCUUUGAGUAAAACGAACU